rnacentral:rRNA from 1 species
CUGUGAGGCAUGCUGGAGGUAUCAGAAGUGCGAAUGCUGACAUAAGUAACGAUAAAGCGGGUGAAAAGCCCGCUCGCCGGAAGACCAAGGGUUCCUGUCCAACGUUAAUCGGGGCAGGGUGAGUCGACCCCUAAGGCGAGGCCGAAAGGCGUAGUCGAUGGGAAACAGGUUAAUAUUCCUGUACUUGGUGUUACUGCGAAGGGGGGACGGAGAAGGCUAUGUUGGCCGGGCGACGGUUGUCCCGGUUUAAGCGUGUAGGCUGGUUUUCCAGGCAAAUCCGGAAAAUCAAGGCUGAGGCGUGAUGACGAGGCACUACGGUGCUGAAGCAACAAAUGCCCUGCUUCCAGGAAAAGCCUCUAAGCAUCAGGUAACAUCAAAUCGUACCCCAAACCGACACAGGUGGUCAGGUAGAGAAUACCAAGGCGCUUGAGAGAACUCGGGUGAAGGAACUAGGCAAAAUGGUGCCGUAACUUCGGGAGAAGGCACGCUGAUAUGUAGGUGAAGUCCCUCGCGGAUGGAGCUGAAAUCAGUCGAAGAUACCAGCUGGCUGCAACUGUUUAUUAAAAACACAGCACUGUGCAAACACGAAAGUGGACGUAUACGGUGUGACGCCUGCCCGGUGCCGGAAGGUUAAUUGAUGGGGUCAGCGCAAGCGAAGCUCUUGAUCGAAGCCCCGGUAAACGGCGGCCGUAACUAUAACGGUCCUAAGGUAGCGAAAUUCCUUGUCGGGUAAGUUCCGACCUGCACGAAUGGCGUAAUGAUGGCCAGGCUGUCUCCACCCGAGACUCAGUGAAAUUGAACUCGCUGUGAAGAUGCAGUGUACCCGCGGCAAGACGGAAAGACCCCGUGAACCUUUACUAUAGCUUGACACUGAACAUUGAGCCUUGAUGUGUAGGAUAGGUGGGAGGCUUUGAAGUGUGGACGCCAGUCUGCAUGGAGCCGACCUUGAAAUACCACCCUUUAAUGUUUGAUGUUCUAACGUGGACCCGUGAUCCGGGUUGCGGACAGUGUCUGGUGGGUAGUUUGACUGGGGCGGUCUCCUCCUAAAGAGUAACGGAGGAGCACGAAGGUUGGCUAAUCCUGGUCGGACAUCAGGAGGUUAGUGCAAUGGCAUAAGCCAGCUUGACUGCGAGCGUGACGGCGCGAGCAGGUGCGAAAGCAGGUCAUAGUGAUCCGGUGGUUCUGAAUGGAAGGGCCAUCGCUCAACGGAUAAAAGGUACUCCGGGGAUAACAGGCUGAUACCGCCCAAGAGUUCAUAUCGACGGCGGUGUUUGGCACCUCGAUGUCGGCUCAUCACAUCCUGGGGCUGAAGUAGGUCCCAAGGGUAUGGCUGUUCGCCAUUUAAAGUGGUACGCGAGCUGGGUUUAGAACGUCGUGAGACAGUUCGGUCCCUAUCUGCCGUGGGCGCUGGAGAACUGAGGGGGGCUGCUCCUAGUACGAGAGGACCGGAGUGGACGCAUCACUGGUGUUCGGGUUGUCAUGCCAAUGGCACUGCCCGGUAGCUAAAUGCGGAAGAGAUAAGUGCUGAAAGCAUCUAAGCACGAAACUUGCCCCGAGAUGAGUUCUCCCUGACCCUUUAAGGGUCCUGAAGGAACGUUGAAGACGACGACGUUGAUA